rnacentral:rRNA from 1 species
CUACGGGAGGCAGCAGUGGGGAAUCUUGCACAAUGGGCGAAAGCCUGAUGCAGCAACGCCGCGUGCGGGAAGAAGGCCCUAGGGUUGUAAACCGCUUUCAGUAGGGAAGAAAAUGACGGUACCUACAGAAGAAGGUGCGGCCAACUACGUGCCAGCAGCCGCGGUGACACGUAGGCACCAAGCGUUAUCCGGAUUUAUUGGGCGUAAAGAGCUCGUAGGCGGUUCGGUAAGUCGGGUGUGAAAACUCUGGGCUCAACCCAGAGAGGCCACCCGAUACUGCUGUGACUAGAGUGCGGUAGGGGAGCGGGGAAUUCCUGGUGUAGCGGUGAAAUGCGCAGAUAUCAGGAGGAACACCAGCGGCGAAGGCGCCGCUCUGGGCCGUAACUGACGCUGAGGAGCGAAAGCAUGGGUAGCAAACAGGAUUAGAUACCCUGGUAGUCCAUGCCGUAAACGUUGGGCACUAGGUGUGGGUCUCAACCAACGAGAUCCGCGCCGUCGCUAACGCAUUAAGUGCCCCGCCUGGGGAGUCGGUCGCAAGACUAAAACUCAAAGGAUAGUACGACGCGAGACGACGCGACGACGACGACGACGGAGGAGGAG